UACGGAGGGUGCGAGCGUUGUCCGGAAUCACUGGGCUUAAAGCGUGUGUAGGCGGAUCGUUAAGUACCUUGUGAAAUCCCACGGCUCAACCGUGGAACUGCUGGGUAUACUGGCGAUCUUGAGCCACCUAGGGGCGAGCGGAACAAGCGGUGGAGCGGUGAAAUGCGUAGAUAUCGCUUGGAACGCCAACGGUGAAAACAGCUCGCUGGGGGUGUGCUGACGCUGAGACACGAAAGCCAGGGGAGCGAACGGG
rnacentral:rRNA from 1 species